UACGGAGGGUGCAAGCGUUAAUCGGAAUUACUGGGCGUAAAGCGCACGCAGGUGGCUGAGUCAGUCGAUUGUGAAAGCCCUGGGCUUAACCUGGGAAUUGCAGUCGAUACUACUCAGCUAGAGUAUGGGAGAGGGUAGUGGAAUUCCCGGUGUAGCGGUGAAAUGCGUAGAUAUCGGGAGGAACAUCAGUGGCGAAGGCGGCUACCUGGCCCAAUACUGACACUCAGGUGCGACAGCGUGGGGA
rnacentral:rRNA from 1 species